rnacentral:lncRNA from 1 species
AACAUGCCAAAACAAUCAUCUUAGGUUCCUAACCAAUGUACCCUCAUUGGUACCACAUUUAUAUCAUUAAAACCUAUCAACAAUGCAUCAUUCAAAUCAAAGUUUAAAACAUACCAAAUCACUCAAUUUAACCUAGCUUAUAACUACCUAAAACAUCAAGCUUAAAUUCACAUACACCUAACAAGCCUUGGUUCAAAACAAC